AAGGUCCUGCACUGUCUGAUCAGCUCUGUUCGGCUUUGCUUCGCCUGUCCAGCCCUGCCAGGGAGCUACUGGGGCAGAGGGAGAUGGAGGAACCUCAUUUUCCCCAGCAGAGCCUUCAGUUCAUGCCUGAGGGCUCAGCUCUGUCGUAUUUCCAUCCCCUCCCUGCCCCUGGCAUCUCCUGCAGCUGGAUGGCUGUUGGCACCUACCAAAGGCAGUUUUGGCUCUGCCAAGCUUUUCUGCUUCCCUCUGAAGACGGAGUCUCAGCAGAUCUCAGCCUCCUGUUGCUGUAGUAGCAAACAGCAUCUGAUUUUCCUUCUGGCUUUGAAUAUUCUGCUUGUUGUCUUGGAAGCAUCUUGCUUUGGAAUCACCAUUCCAUUCCCCUUCACAGCCCACCUAUUCUAGAAGUGUAUAUUUCAACCUGUUCCUGCUGUCUCUCCAACACAACCCGGUAAGAGCCACGAAAAGCCCUUGCAGAUCUUUGGGAUGUGAAUACGCAGAAAAUGAGUCAGUUCUACCAAAAUGUCAGCAAACAGCUUGAUCCUCGUCCUGGUUUGAAAAGGAAGUGUGCUGGAGGAGGAAGAGGAAGAGGAAAAGAUCUGAUUGCUGUGGAGCACAUUCCCCAUGCAUGGCAUCAUCCAGGGAGGAAAGUUGUGGAUGGUGCAGUGAACUUUUCUCUGUUUCAGAAUGAAGCUGGAAAGGCCUUUUCCUGGUGCAUUUAGAGACUCACAGGCAUGUUUAGUUUUGGGAGCAGUCAUGCACUUGGCAGUAAGAACAGCAGAUAUGGAUCCUGCAGCAAGGGAAGCUCCGUGGCUGUUGGAUGGGAUCUGCAGCUGAGUCACACGAGGCACAUCUGACUCAUCACACCAGAGCUGCAUCUGCAGAUGGCCCAGAUUGCAGAAACUUGGGCAAGGCUGAUGAUCCCCUGUAAAAGCUGGGGAGACUGAGGCAUGGAAGUUAAUAGAAUAGUUGGAUCUUCUGGAGGCAAGUUCAUCAAAUGUGGGAUGCACAACAAAUCCACUCUGGGCUCUGUCUCUGAUACACCACGUGCCAUGAAUCCAGCAAUCCAUCGCUGCCUGAAGCUUUCCUGACUUCCCUGGCAUUUGCAGGAAGGUGCAUGGUCACCCUGUGGAAGCAGAUCUCCAGGAGAACCAUCCACCUCAUCCCUGGUGAGCAGAUCCAGGUUGCUCCAGUUUUCCAGCAGGAUUUGCAGUGGGUGGUCACACACUGGAGAGCUUGGCAGCUUUUUCAGUGCUGCUGUUUGCUGCAGGAUCCACACAUUUUUACCCUUGGAUGGAAUAAUCACAUCCUGAUGAAAUCCAGGAUUUGUGCAGCCAAGCUGACGUUGUAAGUGCCACCACCCUUUGCAGCUGCCCAGACACCAACCCUGGGUUUCCUGAUCCUCUUCCUCAGCUCUUCAAACCCUCCUUCCUAAACCAAUCCUGAGCCUCCCAGUCCAUUUUCCCCAUACUGGGCAGCAGCUCCCACAGCAGGAUGCCCUUAUCUCUGUCCAUCCCUGUGCAGGGGGUCCUUGGCUGCCCCAGCCUGCCCCACCUUGCUGAUUUAUCUGCAGCCUCCCUGAGUGCAGCCUUUCCCUUCUCCCACCACCCUGUCUUGGUGUGUGGGAGGCUCAGUGCCCCUGGGACGUUGGGAUGAGUCAGUGUUUGCACAUCCUGAGUCACUCCAGGGAGUUGCCAGAGAGGAGGGGGGAUGCCCAGCCUCAUCUGGGGGUGUACAUGUCCCAGGAAGUUCUGUCUGAAAGAAAAUUCCCAUUCAGAGGUUACCACCUUGUAGGGCCACCACCAUGGACCACAAGUGUCACCCCGUGAGAAGAAGUUAUUUCCUGGCCCUGCUUUCAUGUGAAUCCUUUCAGAUGGCCCACAGCUGGUUAUUGGAGGGGUGCCACCUCCUUGGAAACUUCCUGGGACAUGCCCAGGGGUUCCUCUUGGCAGCUCCCUCAGAGCAGGUUUGUGCAGCCAGGGCAUCCACCAGCCAGGGAGGCCAUGGAGGAAUGCCAGGCAAGUUCUCUAAGCAGGGCUUUUGAGGAGAAUGAAUUCCCAGUCCUCCCACUGAUUGCAAUUUUUAUCACUCUUUUGGGGCUUUUUUGAGCUAGGGAUGCUCCUGAGCUCAUGGAGGCUUUGGGAGUGGAUUGGCUCAGGAGUCCAUCCCUGGUUUAAGAUUUAAAGGGGAGGGUGGACACCCUUGCUGACACCCCCACAGGCACCUUGUUUUCCUCUGUGCCUUGAUGAACCCCAGAGAACACCACAGGAUACUUCAGAUACACACCCAGGCUUUAGAUUGUUACCUCCAUUUCCAGCUGGAAUGGGAUGAAUUCCCAGGUCAAGAAGAGCUGGAAGAACCACCCCAGGAUUUUCUGUUCUCAGAGUGCCUGCCUUUAACAUGAACUGAAUUUUCUGUGCUCGCUCAGAGCAGAGGCUGAGCAGGGAGUGAGGCCAGAAAAACAGGGGGUCAUGUCAGACUUUCUUUUUCUCUCCUCUUAACACUGAAAUAAAAAUACAUCUCGAGCUUG